rnacentral:rRNA from 1 species
GGGUUGUGAGGUUAAGCGACUAAGCGUACACGGUGGAUGCCCUGGCAGUCAGAGGCGAUGAAGGACGUGCUAAUCUGCGAUAAGCGUCGGUAAGGUGAUAUGAACCGUUAUAACCGGCGAUUUCCGAAUGGGGAAACCCAGUGUGUUUCGACACACUAUCAUUAACUGAAUCCAUAGGUUAAUGAGGCGAACCGGGGGAACUGAAACAUCUAAGUACCCCGAGGAAAAGAAAUCAACCGAGAUUCCCCCAGUAGCGGCGAGCGAACGGGGAGCAGCCCAGAGCCUGAAUCAGUGUGUGUGUUAGUGGAAGCGUCUGGAAAGGCGCGCGAUACAGGGUGACAGCCCCGUACACAAAAAUGCACAUGCUGUGAGCUCGAUGAGUAGGGCGGGACACGUGGUAUCCUGUCUGAAUAUGGGGGGACCAUCCUCCAAGGCUAAAUACUCCUGACUGACCGAUAGUGAACCAGUACCGUGAGGGAAAGGCGAAAAGAACCCCGGCGAGGGGAGUGAAAAAGAACCUGAAACCGUGUACGUACAAGCAGUGGGAGCACGCUUAGGCGUGUGACUGCGUACCUUUUGUAUAAUGGGUCAGCGACUUAUAUUCUGUAGCAAGGUUAACCGAAUAGGGGAGCCGAAGGGAAACCGAGUCUUAACUGGGCGUUAAGUUGCAGGGUAUAGACCCGAAACCCGGUGAUCUAGCCAUGGGCAGGUUGAAGGUUGGGUAACACUAACUGGAGGACCGAACCGACUAAUGUUGAAAAAUUAGCGGAUGACUUGUGGCUGGGGGUGAAAGGCCAAUCAAACCGGGAGAUAGCUGGUUCUCCCCGAAAGCUAUUUAGGUAGCGCCUCGUGAAUUCAUCUCCGGGGGUAGAGCACUGUUUCGGCAAGGGGGUCAUCCCGACUUACCAACCCGAUGCAAACUGCGAAUACCGGAGAAUGUUAUCACGGGAGACACACGGCGGGUGCUAACGUCCGUCGUGAAGAGGGAAACAACCCAGACCGCCAGCUAAGGUCCCAAAGUCAUGGUUAAGUGGGAAACGAUGUGGGAAGGCCCAGACAGCCAGGAUGUUGGCUUAGAAGCAGCCAUCAUUUAAAGAAAGCGUAAUAGCUCACUGGUCGAGUCGGCCUGCGCGGAAGAUGUAACGGGGCUAAACCAUGCACCGA